GACAGUGUAGUUCAGUGGUAGAGUGCAUGCCUAGCAUGCACGAGGUCCUGGGUUCAAUCCCCAGUACUUCCA
rnacentral:tRNA from 1 species